CCAUUCCUUGCUCUCUCCUCAGCCAUCUUCCUCAUUUCUGAUGACGGCCUCCUCACAGAGAAUGUCUUUCCAGAGAAGACACAGAGCAUUAGCUCCUGUCUUCACAAACCUAUUAUUUUGACUCUACCAUUCACUACAGCCAAGACGAGACAUCAAAAUGGUGACUAGGACUAGAAGUCUUUGCUUUUCCCAAACAUUGUUCAGUUUUAGAGAAGAGCCACCUGGUGUUUUGCAUGUUGGUUUGGGGAAGAAGGACUGAGGACAGCAAGACCAACCCCUUCUCUUCCUCCUUCUCAGCCUACUCAAUGUGAAAAUGACAACGAUGAAAACCUUUAUAAUGAUCCACUUAAUAAAUGAUAAGCUCAAAUCCUACCUCACAGAGAAUCAAGAAGAGGGAGGAGUGAGGAGGGGUGAACAAGCAAUUAUGACCUGGCUUCUUCCUCAUAUGGCCACAGACCCAAUGUAUGGACACAACCAAUGUUUCCAAGGUGAUGAGUCUAGAGAAUUCUAGAAAAAAUGUCCGAAGACUGCCUACACUUAUCAUACUUCUACAGGAAGAGAAGCAAUUCCCUUACCAAUAUUUCUUGAUUUAUCCAAUAAACAUUAUUUUGGAAGGAA